UCCCAAUUCAGUACGCUUCGGGAAUGUGGU
rnacentral:piRNA from 1 species